GAGGCAGUUGGGUUAUUUUUUUUUUCUUCUUGGGUGAACAACGAAGUAUCUAGGUAGUGGGGGUUGCAAUUGGGAGGUGGGGCUCGAGGAUUUGUGUGGCUCAUUCUCAGACGAUGCUAUACGGAAAUUAUUGGAGAAAUCCAUAUUCCCAUGUGAUUAAGGUGAUCAGCUGAGGCAAGGUAGGAGAGAGUAGAGCAAAUUAUAGAGAGUUGAUGAGGCCAAUUGCAGUGAUUGUAUUAUUUCUUAUGAGUUUUAGCUAUACCCAUGUAGAGAAGUUGAGGUACUUUUAUUAUGUAAUGAAUUUAAAUUUUUAAGAUUAGAAGCCAAUCUUAGUGAUUAUCUUAUGAUGAUUAGAAUUUUUUCUUGAGCUAUCAAAUCUUGUACUAUUUUAUUGUGUGUAAUUGUAUAUUUUAUUUGGGAAGAUUUUUGUUAUCAGCUAUGCCAUAAUAUUGGCAUAGAAAUUAAUUUUUGUUUAUUUUGAUUGUGGUUAUUAUGGCAAA